GGCUUCGGCCUUAGUGGCGCACGGGUGCGUAACGCGUGGGAAUCUACCCUUAGGUUCGGAAUAACAGUUGGAAACGACUGCUAAUACCGGAUGAUGACGUAAGUCCAAAGAUUUAUCGCCUAGGGAUGAGCCCGCGUAGGAUUAGCUAGUUGGUGUGGUAAAGGCGCACCAAGGCGACGAUCCUUAGCUGGUCUGAGAGGAUGAUCAGCCACACUGGGACUGAGACACGGCCCAGACUCCUACGGGAGGCAGCAGUGGGGAAUAUUGGACAAUGGGCGAAAGCCUGAUCCAGCAAUGCCGCGUGAGUGAUGAAGGCCUUAGGGUUGUAAAGCUCUUUUACCCGGGAUGAUAAUGACAGUACCGGGAGAAUAAGCUCCGGCUAACUCCGUGCCAGCAGCCGCGGUAAUACGGAGGGAGCUAGCGUUAUUCGGAAUUACUGGGCGUAAAGCGCACGUAGGCGGCUUUGUAAGUAAGAGGUGAAAGCCUGGUGCUCAACACCAGAACUGCCUUUUAGACUGCAUCGCUUGAAUCCAGGAGAGGUGAGUGGAAUUCCGAGUGUAGAGGUGAAAUUCGUAAAUAUUCGGAAGAACCCAGUGGCGAAGGCGGCUCACUGGACUGGUAUUGAC
rnacentral:rRNA from 1 species